rnacentral:rRNA from 1 species
GCCCUACGGGGCGCAGCAGUGGGGAAUAUUGGGCAAUGGGCGCAAGCCUGACCCAGCAAUGCUGCGUGAAGGAAGAAGGCCUUCGGGUUGUAAACUAUUGUCGUGAGGGAAGAAAUUGACAGUACCUCAGGAGGAAGCUCCGGCUAACUAUGUGCCAGCAGCCGCGGUAAUACAUAGGGAGCAAGCGUUAUCCGGAUUUAUUGGGUGUAAAGGGUGCGUAGACGGGAAAUUAAGUUAGUUGUGAAAUCCCUCGGCUUAACUGAGGAACUGCAACUAAAACUGGUUUUCUUGAGUACUGGAGAGGA